UGGGAACUAGCUCAGUGGGAGAGCUCGUACUUCGCAUGCACGAGGUCCUGGGUUCAAUCCCUAGGACCUCCA
rnacentral:tRNA from 1 species